AAACAAACAAACAAACAACCCUCGAAUUUCUCCUUCAAGGGACAUGUUGAAAGAAACAAAGGAGAAUGAGACACCAACAACCAAUGAUACAGGCUGCUAACUCUAUGCCAAGACCCGGUUCUCCAGGCCCUGAGAGUGUUGGAGCCCCAGAGCAAUGAAGAACUUUAUAGCAGCCAAACAUGUGGGUUCUCCAGAGGCUGCUUCCAACUACAGAAUCACAAGGUCUCAGCUUGGCUGUUCCAGAGGGACACCUAACUCGAAGAGCAGAACCAGAACCUUCCAAGUUCUCCUGCCAUCUGGUCUACCUUCAAAGUAAACAUACACCAGAAGCAGGUGUUUUGCACCUUUAA
ensembl:lncRNA